rnacentral:rRNA from 1 species
UACGUACGGGGCUAGCGUUGUCCGGAUUUAUUGGGCGUAAAGAGCGUGUAGGCGGCCAGGUAGGUCUGCUGUGAAAACUCGAGGCUCAACCUCGAGACGUCGGCGGAAACCAUCUGGCUAGAGUCCGGAAGAGGAGAGUGGAAUUCCUGGUGUAGCGGUGAAAUGCGCAGAUAUCAGGAAGAACACCCGUGGCGAAGGCGGCUCUCUGGGACGGUACUGACGCUGAGACGCGAAAGCGUGGGGAGCGAACAGG